CAGCAGCCGCGGUAAAACAGAGGGUGCGAGCGUUAAUCGGAUUUACUGGGCGUAAAGCGUGCGUAGGCGGCUUCUUAAGUCGGAUGUGAAAUCCCUGAGCUUAACUUAGGAAUUGCAUUCGAUACUGGGAAGCUAGAGUAUGGGAGAGGAUGGUAGAAUUCCAGGUGUAGCGGUGAAAUGCGUAGAGAUCUGGAGGAAUACCGAUGGCGAAGGCAGCCAUCUGGCCUAAUACUGACGCUGAGGUACGAAAGCAUGGGGAGCAAACAGGAUUAGAUACCCCAGUAGUCCAUGUCUCUUAUAC
rnacentral:rRNA from 1 species